rnacentral:rRNA from 1 species
GAUGAACGCUGGCGGCGUGCCUAAUACAUGCAAGUCGAGCGAACAGACGAGGCGCUUGCUCCUCUGACGUUAGCGGCGGACGGGUGAGUAACACGUGGAUAACCUACCUAUAAGACUGGGAUCACUUCGGGAAACCGGCGCUAAUACCGGAUAAUAUAUUGAACCGCAUGGUUCAAUAGUGAAAGACGGUUUUGCUGUCACUUAUAGAUGGAUCCGCGCCGCAUUAGCUAGUUGGUAAGGUAACGGCUUACCAAGGCAACGAUGCGUAGCCGACCUGAGAGGGUGAUCGGCCACACUGGAACGGAGACACGGUCCAGACUCCUACGGGAGGCAGCAGUAGGGAAUCUUACGCAAUGGGCGAAAGCCUGACGGAGCAACGCCGCGUGAGUGAUGAAGGUCUUCGGAUCGUAAAACUCUGUUAUUAGGGAAGAACAAAUGUGUAAGUAACUAUGCACGGCGUGACGGUACCUAAUCAGAAAGCCACGGCUAACUACGUG